rnacentral:rRNA from 1 species
UACGUACGAGGCGAGCGUUAUCCGGAAUUACUGGGCGUAAAGCGCGCGCAGGUGGAGGCGUAAGUUGGGCGUGAAAUCUCCCGGCCUAACUGGGAGGGGUCGCCCAAGACUGCGUGUCUUGAGGCUGGCAGAGGUAGGUGGAAUUCCUGGUGUAGUGGUGAAAUGCGUAGAGAUCAGGAGGAACACCGGUGGCGAAGGCGGCCUACUGGGCCAGCACUGACGCUGAGGCGCGAAAGCUCGGGGAGCGAAC